AGCAGCCGCGGUAAUUCCAGCUCCAAUAGCGUAUAUUAAAGUUGUUGCAGUUAAAAAGCCGUAGUUGAAUUUCGGGAUCAAAGGAUCGGUCAUGCCUUGGUAUGUACUGGUUUUAUUGUUCUCACCUUCUAAAGAACCAUAAUGUCAUUCAUUUGAUGUUAUGGGGAAUUAGGACUGUACCUUGAAAAAAUUAGAGUGUUUAAAGCAGGCUUACGCUUGAAU
rnacentral:rRNA from 1 species